rnacentral:tRNA from 1 species
ACCUGACUGGCUCAGUUGGUAGGGCAUGAAACUUGAUCUUAGGGUCAUGAGUUCAAGCCCCAUGUUGGGCA